rnacentral:rRNA from 1 species
AGUGAACGCUGGCGGUAUGCCUAACACAUGCCAGUCGAACGGCAGCACAGUAAGAGCUAGCUCUUACGGGUGGCGAGUGGCGGACGGGUUACAAAUACAUCUGAAUCUACGUUUUCGUGGGGGAGAACGUAGGGGGACUUACGCUAAUACCGCAUACGGCCUACGGGUGAAAGCAGUUGAUCUUCGGACCUUGCGCGAUUGAAGGAGCCGAUGUCGGAUUAGCUAGUUGGCGGGGUAAAGGCCUACCAAGGCGACGAUCCGUAGCUGGUCUGAGAGGACGAUCAGCCACACUGGAACUGAGACACGGCCCAGACUCCUACGGGAGGCAGCAGUGGGGAAUAUUGGACAAUGGGCGCAAGCCUGAUCCAGCAAUACCGCGUGGGUGAAGAAGGCCUUCGGGUUGUAAAGCACUUUUGUUCGGAAAGAAAAGCAGCAGGUUAAUACGCCGGUGUGAUGACGGUACCGAAAGAAUAAGCACCGGCUAACUUCGUG